rnacentral:tRNA from 1 species
GCGCUCGUAGCUCAAGUGGAUAGAGCAACGGAUUUCUAAUCCGUAGGUUGGGGGUUCGAGUCCCUCCGAGCGCGCCA